GUGAAUCAUCGAAUCUUUGAACGCAAAUUGCACUCUCCUCGGAUAUUAUGCCUGUUUGAGUUCCAGCCUCUAAACAUCGACAUCGUUGUUGUUUCGCGGUGGGGUUCGUCGGUAAUUUGGUCAUCUUAAAUCCUUUUGGUUUAAGCGACUUAAAUUUUUCUUUUGGUUACAUGUACGUUUCUAAGAUCUAUUUCUUUACACGUUUCAGGUAUCGAUUCUUACUAGCCGUGACUAUCAUAUCGUAUC
rnacentral:misc_RNA from 1 species